UAUAGUUUCACAUUUUCAACGUUUUUACAGAAUUAAAAGGUAAAUCUAGUUAUUUUACGCAUAUUCGUAAAUGUCAAGCAUUCAAAUGCAAAAAAUAUGAUAAAAAGAAAAUAAAAAAGCGAGGAGGAUAAUUUAGUUGUUUUGGUCGUUUAAUAAUCUAAUCUCUUAAUCGGAAUAGAAGAACGAGCCCGAACAUUAAAUAUUUGGGUGGUGUAUAUGGAUGGUGUCCUCAGGUGGGAAUAUGAAAAAAAAUUGCGUUGUAAGUCUUCCACAAGACAUUCAAAUGAACAGCGUAUACAGAACAAUAAAGUACGAGUUAGUGAUGAUCGAGCAUCACUAUUCAGUAAAUUAAUUCUGACAUUUCGUCUCUAAAUUAAAUACUAACAUGUAAAUAUAUAAAUGUUGUCGUUUUAUCUUAAUGAACAGUUCUUAUCGUAACAAAGCAAUGUUAUUAAAUUACCAAGGUAAAGGGAAU